rnacentral:rRNA from 1 species
GUGCGAAACCGGCCACGAGAUGAGACUUCUGAUAAGGGCCGUGGGAGAUGACCACGUCGAUAGGCCAUAGGUGUAAAGGUUGAGAGACCAAAGCCGAGUGGUACUAAUAGCCCGGGACUUUCCA